CAUCAAUUACGAACCAAAAGGAGGCAUCAGCCCUGAGGAUUUAACAGGAAAAAAAAAAAAUGAUGAGCAACCAAUGAAGGUCACUGGUCUCAAGGAACACAUAAUCCUCACUACUAUACCUUCUAAAAGUCAGCCAACAAUUCUAUGCUCUGAAGAAGCAGUGACCUGUGUCAGUGGUGAAGAAAAAACAGGGCUGUGUUGGCCACUCCAUUGAGGACAACUCCUUAAGGCAUGAUGAAGGCUGCAGCUUCCAAACUGCUUCAGGAGGCAGGCCAUCAUGGAUAAGUACAGAGACUGGGCUGCCACCACUCAUCCUGUCCCUUCGGAUGUUCCUGGCACCUGAUACAGCUACAGUUUGGGGGGCACACUCCCCCUCCCUUGCUGUCCAAGGAUGCAAGCUCCUGGGUCUCUUUAUGGUAAACUGGACUUUACUGCUGAUCCAUAGGGAUGCAGGCAAAGAGAUCACGGUGUUCCCUGGGCUCCCAGGGAACGUUGUGGGCAGUAGACUCAGUACCUGUUUUGACUUAUGGAGGAGUUGGCCACACCCGUUCUUGAGGUCAUUCAAGGAAAAGGCAAGGCCUGCGGUUGGCAUUCCCCAUAGACACACACGAAAUCCUGCUUCCCUGACGUAAUGACGCUGAGAAGAUAAAAUCAGGGUGUUUCCACAGAAGCCCUCUAGGGGUCUCAGGGCUGGAGCCCAAGGUUUAGGUGCCAACCUAGCCUUGUUAUGCCACAGGCCCAAGCUUAUCCUAAGAAAUUCUACGUUCUUCCCUUGAGCAGACUCCAGGCUGGGUCAGGCUCCCGGAGGGGUACAUCUUCCCAUUUGUGACUUUCAGACAUCCUUGAUCACAUGUGGUGGCCUUGAGGAUUGUUUUCUAGAGCUUUCACUGGGAAAGCCUCUCCUCCCUGUCCACCUGUAUAAGUUUCUUCACUUGCUCAUUUAAGGAACGAGGACUGCAGCCCUGUGCUAUUUCCCAGACACUCUGUGAUGUCUCUUAGAGCUCAGAGAUUAAUGAGGUCACACCUGGACCCUGAAAGGCAUCACAGUAUCAAGUGGAAACAGACCACUUCUUGAAGUACAUGUGGCAUGAUGUAGUGAGGACAUGGGGUAGCUAGAGGCCAUCCUUGGUUCUCCCUAUUACAGAGGAGAUCUAACCCCUUCUGCUCCUUCUGGCUCAACCCAUCUUUGGGAGGUCAUAUUGGCUAGGACCCAUUCUCUCUCCCUUGACUUCUUUUUCAGCAAGUAAUAAACCCUAUCUUAUCAAUUCUAUGCUGUGCAUAUUUUAAAAGCCAUUUACCAAAUCUGAAAAUG